rnacentral:lncRNA from 1 species
GCCAAGGAGCCUUUGGCUGCUCAAGCCCUCAGCCAGAGCUAAGGAGAUUAAGGAGAGGGAACCCAUGAAGUUCCUCCAGGGUUUUAUCAUUAAGUGUGAACAAUGCUGGCAUCUCCUGGGACAGCGUUACAUUGUGAAAGGAGAAGCCAAGGGCUAGAUAUACUCAAAGACAAAGUCAACCAUGGCAGCCUGCAAAUUCAUAGAGGCACCAUAGAGGAACCAAACCGUGAGACCUCCUACUUGAAGAUGACUAAAGGAAAGAAAGCC